rnacentral:misc_RNA from 1 species
CAGGGUCUCGCGACUGCCCAAACCAAACCGUGAACGUUUUACUAUAGCAAUGCUUCGGCGGGCUGCUCGCUGGGGGAGCCCCGGGUCGCCGAUUCAGGCACCGGCCCGCCGUAGGCACGCGUAUCUCAAAUUCUUCGAAUGACUUUCCGAGUUUUUGAUUUUCCGCAAGGAAAAAAAAAUAUCA